rnacentral:lncRNA from 1 species
CAGUUGGCUGCAGGAAUAGCUGGAAUUGGCGCUUGAGUUGCAUCAUUGGACCAUCCAGCAUCAGCACCAGGGGUAUUCCAGUUAUCAGCACCACCACCAAUCGUAUAAUCAGCACCAGGAAGGCCAUAUUCAAUGGGAGCAACAACGUCCUCCUCUUCCUGUUGCUUAGUUUCCUCAGGUUCCCUGUAGAAAAAUAAGUCCACCUGCAUAACAGGAAAUAUGAACAUUGAUGAAAAGUGGAUAAUAAAGAUCCAUUCAUAUGUUGAAUGCUUAAUUAGAUUUGGAUACACCUCAACUGUAGUGAAAGUGGAAAAUAAAAUAAGGGCAGGCAGAAAAUGUGAAGAAAUUUACCAUGACCUCCCACUUGUGACCAGGAAGAAUAGUGCCUCGCAUCUGAAGAACCAUCCUAGCAAGGAGCCAAAAGAGGCAUCCAAUGCUGUGCUUCCCCUUGUUAUUGGCAGGAAUACCAAUAUCCACAUAGCGCAUUGGCGAAUCAGUGUCGCAGAAAGCAAUAGUUGGGAUGUUACCAAGGGCUGCUUCCUUAAUUGGCUG